AGCCUCAACAACGACACUUGAUGGGGUACUUGGAGGCUACAUCCUGGCCUUAAUUGUGGUUGCGGCUUAAAUUGUUCUGCUCCUGUCCUUAAAGUACAUUAAUUUCGCAGCGAGGACCUUAUUUAUUGUUAGACUGCCCCAGCCAUGGAUAUUUUGCCAACAGCCUUCAGGAGAAAUUAAUCUGUCGGACGCGAAAUUUACGAGGCGUUGGGUGUCCAAAAGUUUCCGUGCAUUUUUCUGCCUUUGAAUAUUAACCUUUUGAAAUGGUACUGCGGCGCAAAAACAUUAACUUCCACUUAUCGUAAAUCAGCUGUUGGUAGGUGACAUUCUUGAAAAAUCAUUCUGGCCCGGACUGGCGUGGCAUGCUGGGGAGCACCAAUAUGGUUGAAUGGCAUAAAUGGGCGAAAAUUCAAAUAUGGCUUGCAGGACUCAGUUCGAUCCGGUUCGUUUCUGCUCUCGACUGUCAUAAAUCACAUAAAUGUGUGACCACAUCAGCAGCAUGCCGCAGAAAAAAAGCCAGAAACCAAAAAUAAUAAAAACACAACGAGUACCGCAGAAUAUGGGUUCAAUUAAGCAGUAAAGUGGAUGAUAUACGAUGGCUUAUAUCUUGGCACGGCGAGCUUGUUAAUUUAUUGAACUGGUAAUGCAAGUGUGUUUGCCUGCGGAAGGGGCUACAAUAAUAAGCCAAAUGAUUGAAAAUCCUACAACUGUCCUCAGGCUAUGAAUCUGCGGCUGCCAGUCAAGGUUGUUUUGCAUUUCGGAAAUAAAUAAACAUGAUCUGGGAUGCUGAUGCUAGAGCAUAAAA
rnacentral:sRNA from 1 species